AUCCAGUUAACGAGUUCCAAACAGUACGAAACACGCGUCCUGAAU
rnacentral:hammerhead_ribozyme from 1 species